rnacentral:rRNA from 1 species
AUUGAACGCUGGCGGCAGGCCUAACACAUGCAAGUCGAGCGGAGCGGGGGACGGGUGGGUGAUGCCUAGGAAUCUGCCUGGUAGUGAGGGAUAACGUCCGGAAGGGGACGCUAAUACCACAUACUAUCAAAUGGGCCUAGGUCGGAUUAGCUCGUUGGUGGGGUAAAGGCCUACCAAGGCGACGAUCUGUAGCUGGUCUGAGAGGAGGAACAGGCACACGGGGCCGGAGACAGGGCGCAGACUCCUACGGGCGGCAGCAGUGGGGAAUAUUGAACAAUGGGCGCAAGCGCGAGACAGCCAGGCCGAGUGUGUGAAGCAAGCCUUAGGGUUGUAAUGUAAUUUGAGAAGGGAGGCGUUAAUUGCAGAAGAAGCACCGGCGAAGUUCGUGCCAGCAGCCGCGGUAAUAC